ACUGGGGGGCACAUAUGAACAUUGACUGGGAAGGGAAGUUGCCUAACAAGCCUUUCUUGGGUUGAGGCUCAUUCCUUGGAGACCUUUGUGACUCCAUGAUAAAUAUGGAAACAGGCUUUAAUUAUCCUUGACAGUAUUUUAUUCACACAGAAACAAGGAAGAAUGACACAUCUUCACAACAAUUGCUGCUUGUUGAGUCACCUGGUGGUGGGGAGCUCUAUGGCACUGUAACUACUUCUGACACAUGACACCAUCUUUCCACCUCUUCCACCACCACCCCACCCCUGCUAUGUAGAAAUAAAAGAAAGAUGCCACUGGAACCAGAAGACCAUAGUCUAUAUCAUAUACGGUUUGUUCCUGCAUUACCUGAAGCUACAGAGGAAGACUUCUUAAUGCAGCCCCCACGUCUACAAUCAUAGUAUCAACACAGAACCCAUCAUGAUGCUGGUGUGAAAAAUGAUAGUCACUC